ensembl:ncRNA C03C10.10 ncRNA
CCUGCCUUACACCUACGUGCCGGCAUACAUAUGCAAUGCCUACCAACCUUGUAAGUGCCUGACAAACUGCCUGCCUCAUGUCUGUGUGCAUGGCUGCCUACUAGUGCCUGCCUACUUGUCUCAUUAAUUACCUGAAAUACAUUUGCCU